GACUCGGGUCGUGGCUGACGACCCGACGGUUCGCCUGCGGCCGCCUCCAACAACGGUGGAAACCGCACACAGGGACCGCGGGCCCUCGGUGCAGCAAAUCGGAAAGUGCUGCGGUCGGCGGCCCUGGGCUCUGAGCGCUCAAGCGAGCAGAGGGGUGGAGGGGCUCUCCCCACCCACAGGAGGCUCUCGGCGGGGCGCAGCCAAUUCUGCGCGCCCAAGGCUCCCCUCUGCCGUGGAUCGCGUGUGCCGAGUGUUGGCCUCUUCCCCGAAAGGGCCAGACGGACCAAGGGGGCCUUCCCAGCCGGCUGCAAGCUCUCAGACGCUAAAAUGGGAACAAAGCUUCCAGAAAGGCAGCGCCUUUGGGCGGCCGCGCCCCGCCCAGCCGCGGGGGCCAUUGAUACAGAGGCUUGCUGCGCUUGGUGUGCGCGGCCCGGCCGGGCCUCUGGAAACGCCCAUGAGAAAUGAGCUCAUGCUGGAUGCGCGCGCUCCUUGGGCGCAACUGCCCAGCGCAAAACGGGCCCCGAAAGCAGGUGAGUGGAGGACACUUCAAUCUAAAGUGAUCUUAAAGGAGGAGUAGUAGGAUUUGAAGAUGAAGAAAGAAGAGGGGAGGUAAAUUACUUUCCAUCACUUCAAUUUCAACCCAUCAGAUAAAACCUCUCUUUAGUAAACCUGCAUGUGGGUGGAGCUGUAACAGCAAUUAAGGACAGUGUGACUCUGUUCUUCUGACUUUGGGAAAACCAGUUUGGCUGGAACAAAAAGCUGAUAGAGAAGACUAAUGGAAGAUAAGGUUGAAAAGGUAGGUUUGAGGGAGCUUUGUUACAGGAAAAAAAAAAAAAAAAAACUGGGCUUUGUCCUGUAGACAGUGGAGAGGUACUUUAGCAGAUGUAAGACAUUACCAUUAUAGGAAAGCCUCUGAAGUAACAUACACUGUGGUUUUUCCUGUUGCUGAAAAUAUGCCCAGAGUAACAAGAUGUGGCAUAGUUGGUUAUGUGUCUUAUAACCA
rnacentral:lncRNA from 1 species